UGUCCUCCAUAGGAGGUCUAUAUUGAGCAGAUUCUUUUUGGUAUCGGGUGGUGGAACCGGAGCGUGCUCCAUCCACUCCAUGCAUUGACCUGGUAUUACAGUGCUUCCAGGACCGGUGC
rnacentral:snRNA from 1 species